AUCGCUUCUCGGCCUUUUGGCUAAGAUCAAGUGUAGUAUCUGUUCUUAUCUGUUUAAUAUCUGAUACGUCCCCUACCCGGGGACCAUAUAUUAAAUUGAUUUUUGGAUCAGGGAGAUGGAAUAGGGGCUUGCUCCGUCCACUCCACGCAUCGACCUGGUAUUGCAGUACUUCUUGUACUUCUACUUGUCCA
ensembl:snRNA U2 U2 spliceosomal RNA